AAAAAUGAUGAUGCUAACGUUAUUGAUGAGGAGGAGGAAUAGUUGACAGUAAUUUGUGAAUGGAUAAUACUACAUUAACGAAUUUUGAGUGAAUGAAAUUAUUUUAGGUUUGAUAAAUACCGAAUGAUGUUGGUCUAUACAUAUUAUUUAGAAGAGAAAAUUAGUAUGGUCAUUGUUUAGCACGUAAAAAUGAAUGAGUUUCUAGGUUUUGCGUUUAAUUGAACAAAAACAAGUAACGGCUCAGCAACAGGGAUUAUUCUCAGAUGGUACAUGUAUUCCUUUUAGAGUCACAGAAAUUCAACUUUGCAUCAAUACCGGUGUUCUUUGAGAUUUGUUUGAUGGGUUAAAAUUCCAAAAAUUUACGAGUUUUGCAGCCGACCAAGUACCUAUAGCUUUGUAUUUGAGUGUGUUAAGCAUUUUGUUGUUUUCAAAUUAGUAAAUCAAAAUUAAUACGGUGUUCUAGUAUAUCAAUUGAGCUUAUGCUAUUGCCAUGGAAAUUUGAGCCAGGGUUCGAUCAGUAGCUUAAAGUAUGUCUGUGUUGGUGAAUUGAACCUAAAAACAAAUGUCAAGUCGGUAGUUUUAAUUUUAAGAGCAGAACAUACGUAUUGAUUGUGAGAACAUUAGUAAAAUGUGUUUGGUAUUUGUGCAUGUCUUUUGCGGUCAUUGGACCAAGUUGUUUAAGGCCAAUUGGCCUGAUUUUGAAAGCCAGUUGGCUUGUAUGGUCAGUUGACCGUUUUUAAAGCCAUUCUAUAUGGUGUGUGAAAGCAUGUUGGCUUGUGUUGUCAGGUUACCGAACUUUCUUGGAACGAAAGUCUCAUAGAAUUUACAAUAUUUGCAAGAUUAUUGUUUGCAAUGCAGUAACUAGACAGUUCGAAUAGUAUAUUAAGUAUUGAAGAACAUAAAGGUAUGGUUUAUGUAGUAUGUUAUUAUUAUUACUAGGAUUAUUAUGAUGUAUUUUAUUUGGGUGCAUUCGGAGAAUUGCAAAGCCGGUAGUUAAAAAAGAGCCUAUUACAUCAGAUAUAUUAAAGAAAUUUUAUCACACUUUUGUUUCUGAGAGCGAUUGUUCUUUGGGGUAUUUAAGAGGCGUUACAAUCUUUUUCUUAUUUUAUGCUGGUUUUUUAGGAUAAGUGAAAUUUUGUCUGUUAAAAGAUCAGAUGUUGUAUUUUUAGAUACGCAUUGUGAUAUUAAAGUUGAAAAGUCAAAAACGGACAUUUUAAGAGAGGGUUAUACUGUUCUGAUUGCAAAAACUAAUACAGACACAUGACCUGUGAAAUUGUUUGAAAAGUAUUUGUGUGUUGCAGAUAUUGCAUGUUCAUCUACUGAUUAUGUGUUUAGACCAGUUUAUUUGUGUAAUGUUAAACACUGUUUCAAAUUGAUUUCUAAUAAUAAGCAUAUAAGUUAUUCUACUAUAAAUGAUAGUUUUAAGAAGAAGUUAAGUCUAUUGGGUUAUGUUUCUUCUAAAUAUGGACUUCAUUCUUUUCGUGCUGGUGGAGCAUCUAUAAGUGCCAAUAAUAAGACUGUGGAUAGACUUUGGCAAAGGCAUGGUAGAUGAAAAAGUGUUUCCACUAAGGACGGAUAUGUAAAAGAUUCUUUGAAAGACAGAUUAUCGGUGUCGCUAAAUUUAGAUUUGUGAAAAGUCAUUAUUAAUGUAUGUGUGAUUUGAAAUGUAUGAUGUGUUGUUCGUAGCACAUUUAAAGACACUAUAAUAUAUUAUUAUAUAAAUGGUUUGGAAAUGCUUUUGAGUAUUAUUAAGUUCUGUGUUUGUGUUGUGUGUAUGUUCCUUGUGGUCAUUGGAACAAUUUGUUUACGGCCAUUUGGCCUGAUUUGGUAAGCCAGUUGGCUUGUAUGGUCAGUUGACCGUUUUUUAAAGCAAGUUGAUCUGAUGUGUGAAAGCCGGUUGGCUUUUGUGAGUUGAACUUAUUUUCUUAAAAAGCAUGUUCACAUGGAAUUAACAAUCUUUGCAAGUUUAUUUUUUGCAGUGCAGUAACUGGACAGUACGAAUGGUAUAUUAAGUAUUGGAGAACAUAAAGUUAAAACACAGUUCGAGAGGUAUAUAACGUGGUGGAGAAUAUUUAGGUAUUCAUUUUAUGUUUUAUAUUAUUUGUAUUCUCUCUUUGUUUUAUUCGAAAGUCCUGUCAAAUACAAGCACUCACUCCUAUUUUGUCUUUGGUUUAUUAUUUGUUUGAUAAUGAUAAUGAUGAUGAUAUGGGUUAUAAAGAUGAUGAGAUUUUAAUAGUAUUUUGAGAAUAGAGAAUAAUAAAUUUACUCAUAACUAUGAGUAAAUGAAAUUAUUCUCGGUUUGAGAAAUACGGUAUAGUAUGGUUUAAUACGUGUUAUUUAGAAGAGAGAUUAUGGUAAUGGUUUAGCGCGUAUAAUGCACGGGUUUUGUGUGCAUGUUUUAGCGCGAAAGCGCACGAGUUUUUCGUUUUGGGGUAUAUAUGAUUUGCACAUUUAGUGAGACGCCAUUCGAGGGUUGUUUUUGACAGGCAAAGUUAUGGAGCAAGAAAACGAAAGGGUGAUAACCCCACCCGCCCGCCCUUAAUGAACAUAUGUAUGGUUAAAUAAUUGGUUACAUUGCUUUUAUGUUUAUAAUUUUGCUAUUAUAAAGUCUAUAUUUAGUAUAUUUUCAGUUCGGUUUUAGUCCAUGUGAGAUGGGAUCUCAACACGAACCGAUUCUUUACUAGGAAAGACGAUGGGUGUAUUUUCAUUUAAGUCUGAAGCAGCUAAGUUUUCUUGAUUAUUUUGACUCAUUUGUUACUUAAUAUUGUGUUUGAAUGAGGUCUUUAAGUUAUGGGUGUCAUGUUUUUCGAAACUCUCACUUCCUGGAGAUAGUACCUCCAGCAUACUUAUUGAAAUAUUGGUAUGUUUAAAUGUCAAGUGUUAUUAUUUUUUGUUGUCGUUCGUAAUGAACGUUUAAUUUUAAAGACAUUUUUAUUGUACGAUUACUUACUAUUUUCAUUUUGGUGUGACUGGUUAGAUGUUGAAGUCGGUUUAAUAUAGCUGUUAAAUUCGUCAUAUGCAUUUAUAUAUUUCUCGGAAUAUUUAUGAUUUAUCAACAUUCUUUAUAGAUGCUUUAUGGAUUUUAUGGUUUGAGUGAUUUGUGUGUUUCUUGCUGAUCUCCGGGGUGUGUGCAGGAUGCUUUUGAUGUUUGUUUGUUAUGUUAACUUGCGCAAUGAAUUGAUAAUGUUUUAAUUACAUUUUUUACUAUAAAAUACUUAAUGUUACAGUAUCUUAAUAGCUGCUUAUUUAUAGAUUUCUCUAAAUUAGAGGUUUCGGGAGGUGAUGAAGGCACCUAGACACCGGUCUCGAGCCAUGGGUCCUCAUACGUCCCCCUGCCAUUAAAAGAAAAAAUAAGAAAACAAAAAUGGCAGUAGGGUUGCGUAUCCCGCUCGCGGUUUUACCUGAAUCGUUUAUUACUACUGAGUAUUGUAUGGGGUGUACGUGAAGUCAUGUACACUUCUCUUGAUUGGUGGUGGUAGAUGAAUCUUGCAGAUAUUAGCAGCUUCUUUGAACAAAUUAAUGUUUCACAUUUGUUAAUUUAUAAUAUUCAAGCAAGUUAGCGUGAUUGAUGGGCAUUGGGGGCGUCCUGUGUGCACUGUGGGCAUCGGCGGGGAUCAGUUUAUUCAAACAGUAACUCUUUUUUGAGAUAUAUACUUGACGUCUAAUUGUUAUGAAUACAUUUGCACUUUUUCACAUGACACACAUGUGUAUGUGAAGUAUUCAUAAUUACAUGCCCUACAGCAUUUAAAUAGUAUCGUUUCAGUUCUUUAUACACCUGAACAAAGAUGUUACACCGUUUCCAGUCGUCUCGAGAUUCCUCAACUGAGCGGUGCCGUUGAGGUCUAUAUCCAUUGCGCAUACAACAUAUACGGGCUUCAGAAGAAUUGUUUUUUGCAUUUAUUUGUUGAAAGUCCUGUCAAAUACAAGCACUCACUCCUA